rnacentral:rRNA from 1 species
GAUGAACGCUGGCGGCGUGCCUAAUACAUGCAAGUCGAGCGAACAGACGAUGAGCUUGCUCCUCUGACGUUAGCGGCGGACGGGUGAGUAACACGUGUAUAACCUACCUAUAAGACUGGGAUAACUUCGGGAAACCGGAGCUAAUACCGGAUAAUAUAUUGAACCGCAUGGUUCAAUAGUGAAAGACGGUUUUGCUGUCACUUAUAGAUGGAUCCGCGCCGCAUUAGCUAGUUGGUAAGGUAACGGCUUACCAAGGCAACGAUGCGUAGCCGACCUGAGAGGGUGAUCGGCCACACUGGAACUGAGACACGGUCCAGACUCCUACGGGAGGCAGCAGUAGGGAAUCUUCCGCAAUGGGCGAAAGAUUGACGGAGCAACGCCGAGUGAGUGAUGAAGGUCUUCGGAUCGUAAAACUCUGUUAUUAGGGAAGAAAAAAUGUGUAAGUAACUAUGCACGUCUUGACGGUACCUAAUCAGAAAGCCACGGCUAACUACGUG